rnacentral:misc_RNA from 1 species
UCAUAAAAACUUAAUUUAUGAUGUACAUGAUUUUUCUUUUCCACACAUAAAUUGUCGUAAAAACGCAUUGUUUACCCUGCCGACACAAACCCCAUACACGCGUUAAAACACUUCAGAAAAAGUGUAUUUCUAUGCUUUGUUUAGUGUAAUAGAAAAAUUGUUCAUGUAGUGUUUUUUGUGGUACCCAAUUUUACUAGUUUUUUUUAUGAAUGGAACAGCCAGACUUCGCUACCCAAUUGUUUACAAAUGGAAGUACCAGAACGUUUCAUUCAUGGAUUAUUGACAGUUUGAUAACGGUUUAUCACGGGCGUAAAUGGCCGUGUUAGCAGAUGAAACUGGUAUGAAUAGUGAAGAAAAUAAUCACAAAAAUGAAUCUAGUCAUGAAUCUAAUUUAUAUUUUGACAGACAAUUGCAAAAUAAAUUAUUGCAAGUUGAUGAAGAAUCAGAUAAUGAGGGGUAUGAAAGUAAAUUGUCUAAAUCCUGGAGUAACAUGAAGUUAGUUGGAAAAUCAAAAUCUGACACAAGAAUUGAGGAUAUAAAUGGAUGGUUUCCUAGUGCCAGAUUUGUUGGACGUAGGAAUGAGAUAACAAAGAAUGACCCAAAGCCAGUUAAUAAUUUUAUUCAUCCUUGGAAGGAUUACCGGACGAAAAAGGAUGAUAGUUUUGUAUUCAAACAUUAUACAGAAUUUAGAAAAUAUAUAGAGCAAUACAGAAAUCAGCAUGGCUGUCAUAUUAAUAGGUUUCCUUCAGGAAAUCAAUUUGGUGAAAUGCGCAGAACAGCAUUCCAGAAUUCAGCGCCACCACAGCAGACUUCAGUGACAGUUCAGCAAUUACAUCAGUCUGGAUUUGCCAACUCUGCUCCGCCUUCAUCCUGUAAUGGUAAUCAUUAUUCCAACAUAUCUUACACUAACAGGAAAGAGCAGCUUGGAACAUUAGUUGCUCCAUCUUCAAACUGUUCUUGUAAUGCCAAGACAAAUAGUACAGAUUCAUCUAGUCAGUCUCAAAAGUAUAAAGUGAUUCCAGGACAAUUUACACGAACACAUACAAGCUAUGAUCUCAGACACACUGAUUCUGAUAAUUCAAGUGAAUGUGGGGAUUUGCGUUACAGAACUCCUAGCCGAAGAACUAAUUCUGCCUCAUCAACACGGAGUAGAACUGUCACUGGGAAGACACCAACCAAAAUUACUGUGCCUGCCAACCCUAAUACUCGUGCCUAUCCAGUUCAAGCACUAACUAUUGCAUGGCGCCUCCAACGUGCGUUAAAGGCUGGAUACCAGAGACAGCAGAAUGGUAAAGCAGAUGUAUGUCCCUCACCUAAACCCCUGGAUAACCUCAACUGUGUUGCUCCUGAAAAACAGCCGACAGUCGUAGAUAGAAAGAAUGUUGAUCGGAAUUUAGAGCUAGCAUUGCGGGUACACAGCCUGAAUGAUCUACUUACCACCAAUGAGGCUCCGCUCAGGGGUUAUGCUUUACCAAAAAGUAUGCCCCCAAACCCCAAUCCCAAUAACAUGUUACAAGACCGUGUCUAUAAAAUAUUAUUCAGGUUUGAUGUGGUUUGAUGCUAGCGGACGUGCAUAUGUGAGCCUCGCAACGCGCUACGACCCUGUUAGAAAAUACUGAAACAUUUUAUGUUUACGAAAGAAAUGUUUAAGAAGUCGUCCAGAACUUGAAGGACUGACCUGGGCCGAGAAAUUGGA